rnacentral:rRNA from 1 species
UACGUAGGGCGCAAGCGUUGUCCGGAAUUAUUGGGCGUAAAGAGCUCGUAGGCGGCUUGUCACGUCGGAUGUGAAAGCCCGAGGCUUAACCUCGGGUCUGCAUUCGAUACGGGCUAGCUAGAGUGUGGUAGGGGAGAUCGGAAUUCCUGGUGUAGCGGUGAAAUGCGCAGAUAUCAGGAGGAACACCGGUGGCGAAGGCGGAUCUUUGGGCCAUUACUGACGCUGAGGAGCGAAAGCGUGGGGAGCGAACAGG